GAGCUUGAGGAAACUAUGCGGAGAGAGUAUCCGCAUCUAUUUGAGUCGACAAGUUAAGGUAUGUAUAAUUUCGCGGACGAAAUUAUUUUAAGGGGUGGAGAAUGUAAUAUACCGAAAAUUCGAAAAAUAAAUAUCGAACUUUAGUUAAAUUGACCAAAGUGCGAGGUUGGUACACUUCGAAAAGUCCGAAGAUGUUAAAAUGAUCAAAAGUGCAUUGUGGGAGAUUUCCAAGAGCUAAAGGAUCAAAAAUUUGCAAACUGCAGUUUUGAGCUCUCGGGGACCGGUCCCUGGUGGGAGAGACCAGUCCCCGAAUGCGUGAAAAUUGAGAAGGCUGAAAAAUUUGCUAAGUCCCUGAGAUCAGGCUCUCGGGAACCGGUCCCUGCUGGGGAGAUCGGUCCCCGAGAGACCGGUCCCCCAGAGAGAGACCGGUCGCAUUGUGCGGGAGCCCUCGCUGCCCGCAGGGAGGAGCUACGGGAAUCGGUCCCUGGUCGGGGAGACCGGUCCCCGCACACGAAAUCUGCCCAGUUUGGGCAGUUUAAUAAAGUGAAAGUUAAGGGGCUUAUUUGCAAUUAUGCAUUAUAUGGGUUAUAUUGAGGGCUAAGAGGGCUUGUUCCUCUCAUUCUCUCCUUCACACUCUCUCUCUUCUCUCUCUUUCUCUCUCUAGAAGACAAGAAGGAGAAGAAAAGACAAGGAAAAGAAAGAAAAGAAAAAGGAAAAGAGGAAGAAGAAAAGGAGAAAGAAGGUGAAAAAGGAGCUAAGGAGUGAAGCUAUCUCCUCUUCUUCCCCUUCGGAGCAACAUAGGAGCAAGCUUAGAGGUAAGCUUGAACCUUAUUUAUGGUAAAACCCUAGAAUGUGAACUAGUUGACCUAAAAAUGGUUUUAGUUGAACCUAAUAAGUGUUUCAAGCUUUAUUUUGCUUGUUAAUAAGAUCAACACUAUGGGUUGGGUGUGGGUGGUGAAGCUUGAAGGAGAGCUUCAACCCCUCUCAUAGUAGAAUCCAAACUAGGGUUUGGAUUGAGCCAAAGAUGGUUUUUGUGGAGUCUUUAGAGUAGAAUGAAGCUUCUUUUGCUUCCCAAUGAGAUCAAACCCUAGGUUUGAUGUAUGCUAUAGAGCUAGGGCACCCAAAUUGGGGCUUUUGCUUGCGAGGGUUCUAAAAUAUAAUUGACCCUCUAGAAACCUAAUUGGGGAUAUUUCCGACGCGUUGGUGCGCUCGGAUUAACGUUACGAAAGUUAUGGCCAAAUAAGCCUAAUUUGGCUUCGUUAACUCGCAGGUAGCGAACCGGGUGUCUAAAAAUCCCAAGAAAAUUGUCGGAACACCUAAGUAAGCCUACAAGGUGGGUAGUGCUAUCCAAGCUCGUUGAACUUCCUUCUAUGCCUAAUGUGUGAUUCAAUUGAGCAUAUGUUAUAUACAUCGUUGCAUGCAUCGUAGGGUAUAUGUAAUGAGAAUAAUGUAAUGUUGCAUGUUGUGAAUACAACUUGCCUAAUGAGAUGGUUGAGAACCCCUGUGAAUGUUUAACCCUAUAUGUAUGCAUGAGAUAAAAUGUGAGCACCCAACUGAGACAAAAGAACAAAGUGACACAAUGAGCAUAGAUCGAGUGGCAUUCGAAAGUAUAGCGAUGGUGCCAUUUGAGGCACUAUAUGGAUGUAAGUGUCGUUUUCCUAGUCAUUGGAGCGACGUGGGGGAGAGAACGGCUCUUGGCCCUGACGUAGUGCGAGAGGCGGAGGAGAAAGUCCGCCUUGCCCGUCAACGGUUAGCGACGGCGCAAUCUCGGCAAAAGAGUUAUGCCGACAAGCGAAGAAAAGAUUUAGAGUUCGCGGUUGGAGACCGCGUAUUUUUGAGAGUAUCGCCGAUACGAGGGGUAAAGCGGUUUUGGGUCCGCGGGAAGCUAAGUCCCUGUUAUGUCGGACCAUUUGAGAUAUUGGAGCGUGUGGGUGCGGUAGCGUACAAGCUCGCACUACCACCGAGACUCGCGGGAGUUCACAAUGUUUUCCAUGUGUCAAAUCUCCGAAAGUAUAUUCGCAACUCGACACAUGUAUUGGAGUACGAGCCCGUGGAGUUACGUGAGGAUAUGUCUUACGAGGAGUACCCGGUGUGCAUCCUCGAUUGAGAAGAAAGAAAACUGCGGAGUCGCAGAAUUCCAUAUGUGAAGGUCCAAUGAAGCAACCAUGCGGUGGCGAGAAGCCACUUAGGAGCUUGAGGAAACUAUGCGGAGAGAGUAUCCGCAUCUAUUUGAGUCGACAAGUUAAGGUAUGUAUAAUUUCGCGGACGAAAUUAUUUUAAGGGGUGGAGAAUGUAAUAUACCGAAAAUUCGAAAAAUAAAUAUCGAACUUUAGUUAAAUUGACCAAAGUGCGAGGUUGGUACACUUCGAAAAGUCCGAAGAUGUUAAAAUGAUCAAAAGUG
rnacentral:lncRNA from 1 species